CCUACGGGAGGCAGCAGUGAGGAAUAUUGGUCAAUGGGCGGAAGCCUGAACCAGCCAAGUAGCGUGAGGGAUGAAGGCCCUAUGGGUUGUAAACCGCUUUUGUACGGGGAUAACACCCUCCACGUGUGGAGGUCUGCAAGUACCGUGCGAAUAAGGGCCGGCUAAUUCCGUGCCAGCAGCCGCGGUAAUACGGACGGCCCGAGCGUUAUCCGGAUUCAUUGGGUUUAAAGGGAGCGUAGGCGGGCGGUCAAGUCAGCGGUAAAAUCGCGGGGCUCAACCGCACCACGCAGUUGAAACUGGUCGUCUUGAGUGCACAAGAGGCAGGCGGAAUGCGUGGUGUAGCGGUGAAAUGCAUAGAUAUCACGAAGAACCCCGAUUGCGAAGGCAGCCUGCCGGGGUGCGACUGACGCUGAGGCUCGAAGGUGCGGGUAUCGAACAGGAUUAGAUACCCGGGUAGUC
rnacentral:rRNA from 1 species